CCUACGGUGGGCAGCAGUGGGGAAUAUUGGGCAAUGGGCGCAAGCCUGACCCAGCAACGCCGCGUGAAGGAAGAAGGCUUUCGGGUUGUAAACUUCUUUUCUCAGGGACGAAGAAAGUGACGGUACCUGAGGAAUAAGCCACGGCUAACUACGUGCCAGCAGCCGCGGUAAUACGUAGGUGGCAAGCGUUAUCCGGAUUCAUUGGGUUUAAGGGGUGCGCAGGCGGGCCUUUAAGCCGGCGGUGUAAUCGCGGGGCUCAACCCCGCCGAGCCGUCGGAACUGGGGGCCUUGCGUGCGGCGGAGGCAUGCGGAAUGCGCGGUGUAGCGGUGAAAUGCAUAGAUAGCGCGCAGAACCCCGAUUGCGAAGGCAGCGUGCCGUGCCGCCACUGACGCUGAGGCACGAAAGCGCGGGGAUCGAACAGGAUUAGAUACCCGAGUAGUC
rnacentral:rRNA from 1 species